UCCAGUGGCCUGGCAAUUAGUGACCACGGCGAUACGAGAAACCGACACGCAAAUAUCCGGACAGCAACGGACGAUCGAAGACAAGCCGUGCAUUUCUGGAGAGGAGCAUCGCGCUUUUAGUGGAUCUACCAAAAGGCAGAGGAGCGGCAAGAACAAGUUAUCGUUCUUUACCUUUCAGUGAACUCUAGCUUGUAAGGAGCAGAAACAUAAACACAGCGAGGCAGGAGACGGCUGCAUACACCUCUGCCUGCGGUGAACAGGACUGUCAGAGUCAGGAAACGUUCUGGAGAAAAGCUGUCUACACUCUGGUCUGGGGCAGUAUGAACCUGACUGAUGUCCUGUCUCCAUGCCAACCGAAGUCUCAGGUCGAGGUAAACCUAAACCCUCCUGUCAGAAGGUGACCUCUCUGCCCCAAUCCAAACUCUACAGGAUCACCCAUCUUGAUGCAUGUGCCUGCCUGGCUGAAGUAGAUGUGUGUUUGCUUCUAUUGGGUCCCGGUGUCAUUUAUACUGAUGGCUUGUGAGCGUUUCAUCUCUGGCACCCUACCAGACAGCAUCUGAAACAGAGCAUAUUGUACAGCGCUCUGAGAGCGGAGAGAAACAUCUCCAACGGAGCUGAAGAUUGCGUCCCUGAAAACCGUACUAUGUCCAAUGUGGUGUAGAAUGUGUUGACUGGAGGCCUGAAAGGAUGCCAGAUAAGCUUUAAUCUUGCUUUCACUAAAAGUCUUUAAAGGCUUUUGACAUACAUUUCAAGUUGUUUGCUAGUCCCGGUAUAAAAAUAAACAGGCACAAUAUCUGAAAACCUCUGUACACUGAGGCUGGUCUUAUUUUAACUACCGUUCAAAGGUUUGGGGUCGGUAAGAAGUCUUUUAUGCUCACAAACCUGCUUUCAUUAGAUCAAAAAUGCAGCAAACAGUAACAUUGUUUAAUGUCACUAGAAUUUAAAAUGUAAUUUACUACAGUGAAAUCAAAGUUGAAUUUUAAGCUUCCGAGAAACAUUUCUCAUUAUUACUAUUGUUUAAAACAGUACUAGUUAUUAUUUCUUUUGAACAGAAAGUUUAAAA